CAGCUCCUGCUCGUAGUGGGCUCUCGACAUGUUCACGCCGACACGCAGAGGCUUCAUGAACGUAUCUUCUAUUUUAUACAGCUCGGUCCAGACGCCGGUCUGCAAGAUGGCAAAACUAACACGAGAGACAAUAGGGUCUCCUUCCGCUGCCAGACUGCUAUCUGCACUCACCUGGUUCUCUGUUACUUUGUCUCUGAUGACCAGAUAACGCAGCAGGUUCAGAGACUCCAUGACUCUGCAGGAAAAAAAUAAAUAAGUUACAUUUUGGCCAGUAUCAAUAUCUGGUAUUAAUAUUUGCUAUCCUCUUGACACCUUGAAAAAAUAAAGUACCACACUGUUGACACCAGUUCAGUCAAACGUCAAAGUUCAGUCAGUGCUCCAUCACUACAUGACCAACUUCCUCUUCCAAACAGCAACAACAUGGAAAUAAUUUUUUUUAUAUCAACCUAGCUUUACAUAUUAGACUAAUACAAAACUGUUAAAAAUGGCUAAUAUCUGCCAAUACUGAUGUUGGUGACAAUAUUCUGUGCAUCCCUAAAAAUAAUACGCAUAAGAAUCUCUUAUGAAAUUUGUGGGAAAGGUAAAGAUUAGGGUGAUGGCAAGGAGACCUUCCAAUAUCCAAAUACUGUAGUCAAAACUGCUGGUGGAAAAGUGCAAAAAGCUGGUUCAGCCAUUAUAAGAAGUUAGCUGUAAUACCAAUAAAGAUUUUCACCUGAUUAAUGAAAACGUUGUAAAUAAUGAUCAGCAUGCAAAUCUCCAAUAAAACAUGAA